rnacentral:rRNA from 1 species
UACGUAGGGUGCAAGCGUUGUCCGGAAUUAUUGGGCGUAAAGAGCUCGUAGGCGGUUUGUCGCGUCGGCUGUGAAAGCCCGGAGCUCAACUCCGGGUCUGCAGUCGAUACGGGCAGACUUGAGUGUUGCAGGGGAGACUGGAAUUCCUGGUGUAGCGGUGAAAUGCGCAGAUAUCAGGAGGAACACCGGUGGCGAAGGCGGGUCUCUGGGCAACAACUGACGCUGAGACUCGAAAGCGUGGGGAGCAAACAGG